UUAUAUUACUCAGUUGUGUAAUUAUUAAUUUAAUAUCCCUUUUUUUCCUGCUAAGCUUUAUGAGGUCAUAAAGCCAAUCUGUUCUUUCCAUUUUAUCCCUGGUGCUCAGCUCAGUGCCUCACAAAGAAAACUGAGCACUUAGCACAGGGCGUCAACACUCCCUACUGAAGGAGGAGGGCGUAGAGGCAAAGGGACUUGUCCAUGGUGUCCUGUGUUUAAGAAGAGGAGGCAAGGCUGGAACAAGACUGGAAUGGAUUUUAGAGCGCACCCAGAAUGGUGGACCCUGUGCCACAUGCUGGGGGCAUGGAAUUGAGCAAAACAGACACAUAGGCCCACUCCCUGUUACAGUCUGGUGGGGAAGACAGUGCAAUGAGCAGGUCUUAAGAUGAUGUGUGGGGGAUCUCCUGCACAGUGUCAUCUACUCAUGAGACUCCAAUACCCCCUUGCCAGUGAUGGAUUUAGGAAUACAGUUGUGAACAAUUCUCUACUGAGAUAGUGAAUUCAGCCAGAGGGCUUCCAGGAAAAAUUUCUUCACUCCUCAGAGACACAAGAAGAUCUAGUCUCUGUCUCUCCUCCCACUGAGUGUUCUCUGGAUAUGACAUGGAGCUUCGGACCUGACUCUGUCACCCAGCCUGGAGUGCACUGGCGUGGAUACAGCUCACUGCAGCUUCGACCUGCCAGGCUCAAGCCAUCCUCCCACCUCAGCCUCCAGAGUAACUGGGACUACAGGCAUGCGCCA